rnacentral:rRNA from 1 species
GACGAACGCUGGCGGCGUGCUUAACACAUGCAAGUCGAACGGAAAGGCCCUGCUUGCAGGGUCCUCGAGUGGCGAACGGGUGGGUAACACGUGGGUGAUCUGCCCUGCACUUCGUGAUAAGGCUGGGAGACUGGGUCCAAUAGCGGAUAGGAGACAUUUUUAGUGGGAUGGUUGGAAAGUUUUUUGGGUGUAGGAUGAGCUGGCGGCCUAUCAGCUUGUUGGUGGGGUAAUGGCCUACCAAGGCGGCGAGGGGUAGCCGGCCUGAGAGGGUGGACGGCCACAUUGGGACUGAGAUACGGCCCAGACGCCUACGGGAGGCAGCAGGGGGGAAUCUUGAACAAUGGGCGCAAGCCGGAUGCAGCGACGCCGCGGGGGGGAUGGCGGCCUUGGGGUUGUAAACACCUUUCGCUAGGGACGAAGCUUGUUGUGACGGUACCUAGAUAAGAAGCACCGGCUAACUACGUG